rnacentral:rRNA from 1 species
GCCAGACUCCUACGGGAGGCAGCAGUGGGGAAUAUUGGGCAAUGGGCGCAAGCCUGACCCAGCAACGCCGCGUGAAGGAAGAAGGCUUUCGGGUUGUAAACUUCUUUUAAGAGGGAAGAGUAGAAGACGGUACCUCUUGGAUAAGCCACGGCUAACUACGUGCCAGCAGCCGCGGUAAUACGUAGGUGGCAAGCGUUGUCCGGAUUUACUAGGUGUAAAGGGCGUGUAGCCGGGCCGGCAAGUCAGAUGUGAAAUCCAAGGCUCAACCUUGGAACUGCAUUUGAAACUGUUGGUCUUGAGUAUCGGAGAGGCAGGCGGAAUUCCUAGUGUAGCGGUGAAAUGCGUAGAUAUUAGGAGGAACACCAGUGGCGAAGGCGGCCUGCUGGACGACAACUGACGGUGAGGCGCGAAAGCGUGGGGAGCAAACAGGAUUAGAUACCCUAGUA